CAGUUGGGUGGAGCCAGCCACUGAUGUCAUAAAGCCAGUGGCAAGAAUGUUCUAGAAGUGUGCUUGGCAGGCCAAACAUCAGAUCUUGUUAAGCUCUCUGCCCUCUUAUCUCAAGGAACCCUUUCAGUUCCCAUUUACCUGCUUCCACAAACGGCAAGAACCAAGGGAGCCCUCCACCCCACCAAACCAGAAAUAGGCAGGUGAAGAAAACUGACAAAGAAACGGGGAAGAGCCGUGAGCCCAAAAGUGAUGAAGCAACAGUUUUUCUAAUCGAACGAACUGAGGCCUUCAUCCUGCAAACCCCAAGUUUCCAGUGAGGAAUGGUUUAACGUUGAGGAGGAGAGGAGGAAGAAGAUUAUUAAACAAGAAAAAAUAACUGGCCAGGAGACCAUCUGAGCAAAGCUACACAACAAAGCAAUCAAGAGCAGACACGGAAGCAGGAACAGCAGGAACAAAGGGAAAAGGCUGAGAAAUGUCACGUGGGAAAGAAGGAACAAAUGUACCCCAAAGAGAAGCAGAAGAAGCAGCUGAAGCCAAGGCCAAAUUACCAGCAGUCAAACUGAAGGCAUCAGAAGCCAGUACAGGGCCAAAGACGGAAACAGCAAAAGAGGCAAGGUCUGACGCAAUAGCCAGAGCCGCAGAGAAGGUGGCAAGAUCACAAAUUGCAUUGGUUUUGCAAUCGGCAAAAGCAGAGCUGAGGCACAGAAGAAGAAAUCCAAGCUUGAGACAAAAGGAUACUCUUCUGAACAACUUGGAGGAAAACGGAAUAAAUGAGACUGAAAUGCAAUGAAGGCAGAAUGUGAUCAGUAGAUCCAUGGUAUGUAGUGGGAACAAGUGAACCUUCUUUGAGUAAUAGCAAAUCACACCCAUUAAUGGUGUGUCUUCCUUGGGAAACAUCAAUAAACAUUGAUCAAUAAA